GGGUAGUUUGACUGGGGCGGUCUCCUCCUAAAGAGUAACGGAGGAGUACGAAGGUGCGCUCAGACCGGUCGGAAAUCGGUCGCAGAGUAUAAAGGCAAAAGCGCGCUUGACUGCGAGACAGACACGUCGAGCAGGUACGAAAGUAGGUCUUAGUGAUCCGGUGGUUCUGUAUGGAAGGGCCAUCGCUCAACGGAUAAAAGGUACUCCGGGGAUAACAGGCUGAUACCGCCCAAGAGUUCAUAUCGACGGCGGUGUUUGGCACCUCGAUGUCGGCUCAUCACAUCCUGGGGCUGAAGCCGGUCCCAAGGGUAUGGCUGUUCGCCAUUUAAAGUGGUACGCGAGCUGGGUUUAGAACGUCGUGAGACAGUUCGGUCCCUAUCUGCCGUGGACGUUUGAGAUUUGAGAGGGGCUGCUCCUAGUACGAGAGGACCGGAGUGGACGAACCUCUGGUGUUCCGGUUGUCACGCCAGUGGCAUUGCCGGGUAGCUACGUUCGGAAGAGAUAACCGCUGAAAGCAUCUAAGCGGGAAACUUGCCUCAAGAUGAGAUCUCACUGGAGCCUUGAGCUCCCUAAAGGGCCGUCGAAGACUACGACGUUGAUAGGUUGGGUGUGUAAGCGCUGUGAGGCGUUGAGCUAACCAAUACUAAUUGCCCGUGAGGCUUGACCAUAUAACACCCAAACAAUU
rnacentral:rRNA from 2 species